CCAGACUCCUACGGGAGGCAGCAGUGGGGGAUAUUGCACAAUGGGGGGAACCCUGAUGCAGCGACGCCGCGUGGGUGAAGGAGUGCUUCGGCAUGUAAAGCCCUAUCGGCAGGGAAGAAGCAAGACGGUACCUGACUAAGAAGCCCCGGCUAACUACGUGCCAGCAGCCGCGGUAAUACGUAGGGGGCGAGCGUUAUCCGGAUUCACUGGGUGUAAAGGGAGCGUAGACGGCCAAGCAAGCCAGGGGUGAAAUCCCGGGGCUUAACCACGGGACUGCUCUGGAAACUGUGCAGCUAGGGUGCAGGAGAGGCAGGCGGAAUUCCUAGUGUAGCGGUGAAAUGCGUAGAUAUUAGGAGGAACACCGGUGGCGAAGGCGGCCUGCUGGACUGUAACUGACGUUGAGGCUCGAAAGCGUGGGGAGCAAACAGGAUUAGAUACCCUAGUA
rnacentral:rRNA from 1 species